rnacentral:rRNA from 1 species
CAGGUUUGAUCCUGGCUCAGGAUGAACGCUAGCUACAGGCUUAACACAUGCAAGUCGAGGGGCAGCGCGGCGGAAGCUUGCUUCCGCUGGCGGCGACCGGCGCACGGGUGCGUAACGCGUAUCCAACUUGCCCUUGUCCCGGGGAUAGCCUCGCGAAAGCGAGAAUAAUACCCGGUGUAGCCACGGUUCCGCAUGGAAUUGUGGCGAUAGGUCCGCCGGACAAGGAUAGGGAUGCGUCCCAUUAGGCAGUA